GGCUUGAGCUCAGUGGUAGAGUGCUCGCCUCGCACAUGGGAGGCACUGGGUUCCAUCCUCAGUGCCA
rnacentral:tRNA from 1 species